rnacentral:ncRNA from 2 species
AACUGAAUAACCGUUUUCGGUCCUUUAUAUAAGGAUAAUAGGGAAUGAGGUUAAAAUCCUCAGCAGCCCCCGCUACUGUAAAGACGUACGAAAUCUCAAAUGCCACUGAUUCAUGGGAAGGCGAGAAAUUAGGAUGAUGUCUAAGCCAGGAGACCUGCCAAAACGUAUUUUACAAU